rnacentral:lncRNA from 1 species
UGUUCCCCAAGAGCGCAUCUAUUUCCACCACCGUUUGCGGCGUCAGCUGACUCAGCACCUUGAGAAUCGGCAGUAGAGAGGGCAGGUUUUGCUGGGUCACCGAGUUAAGGGCAUGAUGAAGGCCACAGUGGGACCCACUGAGAAAGUCUCAGCUGUUUGACAGCUUGGCACUGUCUCCCUGGACUUCCCUUUACAAAUGACAACUCUGUAAGAAGGUGCACAAGAGAGGAAAACCCUUGAUGUCUGACCCAUAGAUUCCUAGACUCCAGAUCCAUUGCAGCUAGACUCUGCCCACCACAACAAGACCCCAGGAAAAGGCUACGUCAAGGAGCGGGGCUUACCUGAAGCUAUGGAGAACUGGGAUGGCACGAGUCCUUACCGGCAGGUGUGGAGCAGCAAACCCCCCACUCCUAUCCCAUAGACCACAGAUCCUUCGUAAGGCUUCGCCCCAAGUACUCACUGUCCACCCCAAAAAAUCUUGGUGGUGAUAACAUAGCUUGAUCUCCUGGAAAAAGCAAAACAAUAUUUCCAGCAGGAAAAUGAUAUUUGGUUGAUCAUGUCUCCAGCAGCCACCACCCCCUGAACAGUCUCACCUCCAGCCUUUGCUCUUGAGAAUAUUGCCAAGGGUUCUUUCAGCCCUGAAAUAAAGACAAUGCAAGGAC